UGGGGAAUAUUGCACAAUGGGCGCAAGCCUGAUGCAGCCAUGCCGCGUGUAUGAAGAAGGCCUUCGGGUUGUAAAGUACUUUCAGCGGGGAGGAAGGGAGUAAAGUUAAUACCUUUGCUCAUUGACGUUACCCGCAGAAGAAGCACCGGCUAACUCCGUGCCAGCAGCCGCGGUAAUACGGAGGGUGCAAGCGUUAAUCGGAAUUACUGGGCGUAAAGCGCACGCAGGCGGUUUGUUAAGUCAGAUGUGAAAUCCCCGGGCUCAACCUGGGAACUGCAUCUAAUACUGGCUAGCUUGAGUCUCGUAGAGGGGGGUAGAAUUCCAGGUGUAGCGGUGAAAUGCGUAGAGAUCUGGAGGAAUACCGGUGGCGAAGGCGGCCCCCUGGACGAAGACUGACGCUCAGGUGCGAAAGCGUGGGGAGCAAACAGG
rnacentral:rRNA from 1 species